UGUUUGAUGUUCUAACGUGGACCCGUGAUCCGGGUUGCGGACAGUGUCUGGUGGGUAGUUUGACUGGGGCGGUCUCCUCCUAAAGAGUAACGGAGGAGCACGAAGGUUGGCUAAUCCUGGUCGGACAUCAGGAGGUUAGUGCAAUGGCAUAAGCCAGCUUGACUGCGAGCGUGACGGCGCGAGCAGGUGCGAAAGCAGGUCAUAGUGAUCCGGUGGUUCUGAAUGGAAGGGCCAUCGCUCAACGGAUAAAAGGUACUCCGGGGAUAACAGGCUGAUACCGCCCAAGAGUUCAUAUCGACGGCGGUGUUUGGCACCUCGAUGUCGGCUCAUCACAUCCUGGGGCUGAAGUAGGUCCCAAGGGUAUGGCUGUUCGCCAUUUAAAGUGGUACGCGAGCUGGGUUUAGAACGUCGUGAGACAGUUCGGUCCCUAUCUGCCGUGGGCGCUGGAGAACUGAGGGGGGCUGCUCCUAGUACGAGAGGACCGGAGUGGACGCAUCACUGGUGUUCGGGUUGUCAUGCCAAUGGCACUGCCCGGUAGCUAAAUGCGGAAGAGAUAAGUGCUGAAAGCAUCUAAGCACGAAACUUGCCCCGAGAUGAGUUCUCCCUGAGACUUAGAGUCUCCUGAAGGAACGUUGAAGACGACGACGUUGAUAGGCCGGGUGUGUAAGCGCAGCGAUGCGUUGAGCUAACCGGUACUAAUGAACC
rnacentral:rRNA from 1 species